rnacentral:rRNA from 1 species
GCGAACGGGUGAGUAACACGUGACAUCUGCCCUGACUCUGGGAUAAGCGCUGGAAACGGCGUCUAAUACUGGAUACGAGCCGUGAAGGCAUCUUCAACGGUUGGAAAGAUUUUUCGGUCAGGGAUGAGCUCGCGGCUAUCAGCUUGUUGGUGAGGUAAUGGCUCACCAAGGCGUCGACGGGUAGCCGGCCUGAGAAGGGUGACCGGCCACACUGGGACUGAGAACACGGCCCAAAACUCCUACGGGAGGCAGCAGUGGGGAAUAUUGCACAAUGGGCGCAAGCCUGAUGCAGCAACGCCGCGUGAGGGAUGACGGCCUUCGGGUUGUAAACCUCUUUUAGCAGGGAAGAAGCGAAAGUGACGGUACCUGCAGAAAAAGCGCCGGUAACUACGUGCCACAGCCGGGAAAUACGUAGGGGGCGGCAAGCGUUAAUCCGGAAUUAUGGGCGUAAAGAGCUCGUAAGGCGGUUUGCCGGCGUCUGCUGGUGAGAUCCCGGAGGGUCAAACCCUCGGGGUCUGGCAGGGGGUACGGGGCAGACUAAAGUGCGGGCAGGGGACGAUGGGAAAUCCNGGUGUAGGGGGGAUGGGCAAAAAUACCAGG